rnacentral:misc_RNA from 1 species
CAGUAUGAAGGUGCAUGGAAUGAAGAUGGCAAAGGACCAAGUAUUGUGGAUACUUUCGUUCACACUCAUCCUGAAAAAAUAUUGGACCGUAGCAAUGGAGAUAUAGCUCUGGACUUUUAUCAUCGUUACAAGGAGGACGUGAAACUAGCAAAAUUUGAAGGACUGGAUGCUUUCAGGAUAUCUAUUGCAUGGACGAGAAUUUUACCAAAG